rnacentral:rRNA from 1 species
GACGAACGCUGGCGGCGUGCUUAACACAUGCAAGUCGAACGGAAAGGCCCUGCUUUUGUGGGGUGCUCGAGUGGCGAACGGGUGAGUAACACGUGAGUAACCUGCCCUUGACUUUGGGAUAACUUCAGGAAACUGGGGCUAAUACCGGAUAGGAUCUCCUGCUGCAUGGGGGGGGUUGGAAAGUUUCGGCGGUUGGGGAUGGACUCGCGGCUUAUCAGCUUGUUGGUGGGGUAGUGGCUUACCAAGGCUUUGACGGGUAGCCGGCCUGAGAGGGUGACCGGGCACAUUGGGACUGAGAUACGGCCCAGAAUCGUACGGGAGGCAGCAGUGGGGAAUUUUGCACAGUGGGCGGAAGCCUGAUGCAGCAACGCCGCGUGCGGGAUGACGGCUUUCGAGUUGUAAACCGCUUUCGAAUGUGACGAAGAGUGAGUGACGGUAAUGGGUAAAGAAGCACCGGCUAACUACGUG